GAUGAACGCUGACAGAAUGCUUAACACAUGCAAGUCUACUUGAACUUCGGUUUGGGUGGCGGACGGGUGAGUAACGCGUACCGAACUUGCCUCACAGAUAGGGACAACAUUUGGAAACGAAUGCUAAUACCUGAUAUUAUCAUUUUAGGGCAUCCUAGUAUUAUGACAGCUAUAUGCACUGUGAGAGGGCUUUGCGUUCCAUUAGCUAGUUGGAGAGGUAACGGCUCACCAAGGAGAGGAUGGGUAGCCGGCCUGGGAGGGUGAUCGGCCACAAAGGGACACGGACACGGCCAUUACUGAUUCUGGAGGCAGGGGUGGGAAACAUUGGGAGAAGGACCGAGAGUGUGAUCAAGCAAUUCUGUGUGUACGAUGAAGUUUUUCGGAAUGUAAAGAGGUUUCAGUAGGGGAGAAAAAAAUGACGGUACCAACAGAAGAAGUGACGGCUAAAUACGUA
rnacentral:rRNA from 1 species